AAAGAUUGUCUUACUAAAUAGAAAAAGAAUUUAUUUGAGAGAAUUAUCUUUUAUUUUAGUAUUUUAUUGAAAAAUUUGAUUUAGUAAUAGUUUACUAGUACUGUGAAGUAAUGUUGAAAUAUUUUGAAAAAUUAUUUCAUAGAAAGCAUACAUUUUGUAGUACCUUUUGUAUCAGGGUUAAUUUAUUUUAUCUAAUAUAU
rnacentral:rRNA from 1 species